rnacentral:rRNA from 1 species
AUUGAACGCUGGCGGCAGGCCUAACACAUGCAAGUCGAACGAGUGGCGGACGGGUGAGUAAUGUCUGGGAAACUGCCCGAUGGAGGGGGAUAACUACUGGAAACGGUAGCUAAUACCGCAUACCAUCGGAUGUGCCCAGAUGGGAUUAGCUAGUAGGUGGGGUAACGGCGCACCUAGGCGACGAUCCCUAGCUGGUCUGAGAGGAUGACCAGCCACACGGGAACUGAGACACGGUCCAGACUCCUACGGGAGGCAGCAGUGGGGAAUAUUGCACAAUGGGCGCAAGCCGGAUGCAGCCAUGCCGCGGGUAUGAAGAAGGCCUUCGGGUUGUAAAGUACUUUCAGCGAGGAGGCGGUACUCGAAGAAGAAGCACCGGCUAACUCCGUGCCAGCAGCCGCGGUAAUUC